GACUCGGGCAAGAUCUUCUUCCGCCACGAGCUAGGUUUGGGGUUCAUGACCGAGUUGAAGAGGGCUUCGAGGUCGGUGUCUAGGUCCUGCGUGACGUGGAUCACUUGCUGCCCGGGUGGCGGGAGCGGAGGCGCUGAGGCCGGAUUCAUCUUCUGCAAGGAGAAAGGACUGCCCAGUACCUGUACGCCUAGCGCAGUGGCUAUUUCCCGACUAUGCCAUCUGCCAUUUUUGCCUUAGGAAAGCCACAGGCUGCUUUCUCACCCCUCUGAUUGCUAACUUGGUCUGAGUGACUGAUUCCAGCCAAGGUGAAUGCAUUGUCCAGACUGCAGUGAGGCCACCUUUCCAGCCUGGUCAAGGAAGGUCAAGUUCAUUGUUUGGAGCCAAGGAGAAGAGGAGAGGACCAGUCAAACCAAGACAGGCUGGAGAGAGGACCCAGGACUCAAAUUCUGCUCCAAAAGGAGCUGACCCUACAGGCAUAAAUUCAAAUCAGACAUGCUUAAAACAAUUUUAAAAUUCUCUUAAAAAAUAUAUAUUUGCAGAUAAUCUCAGAUAAGAGGGUAAAUUUGUUUUCAAGUAGUGUCUGCCACACAAUAAACCCUGAUUUGACCAAAUGGAUAUAGAUAUUUCCACAGUCAUAAUUAAAAGUUGUUAGUAUUUCGAUUAUCACAAUAAUACUAAAUAAUGUUUAUAUUUUAAAGAUUACAAAAGAGUUUCACAUGAACAAUCACACAUGAGUCUCACAGGAAAUCAGGUCCCUGUGAAGUUUACACCACCAUCUCCACCACCACCACUACCAAUACCACUUCUACUACUAUCACCACCAUCAUCACUUCUACCAUCACCAGCAAGCAGCCACAUAGAUCUUACAGCAUAAAGCACAUUUACUAUGAAAACUGGAAUUAAAUAAAGAACUCUGGCCUAUAGUUAUUUGGAAAACAAUAUCUCUUGUGCAUUUAAUUCACUUGUCCUUCUUUUGAUGUAUGUUGCAUAUUACCAAAGGAUACACACCACUAUGCUGGAAUUUUCAGAGCAGUUUUUCAGCAUUCUCAUGCUGAAAAGGAAAUUUUUCUCAUGCUAGGAGGAAAUCUUAAGUGUGAAGGAAUCAUAGAAAUUACUUAUUCCAACUCCCCCAUUUUAUAGAUGAGGAAAAUGAAGUUCACAGAAGGGAAGUGACUUUCCAGGAUCACAUGAGUAGACAAGGAUAAAAUAGUAAUCAAAAUAAGAACUCAAUCCCCUUGAUUUGCUCACUACCCAGGAUCGAACUCUCUCCCACAGACCCAUGCUGUAGGAGAACGGAAUAAGGACUAUUAAUUAAGAAAAAGUUAUCACAUCUCACAGGCAGAGAAACUCUCUGGAGAAAAGGAGAAAGUACAAAUCCCCACCCAGGAGCUCUUUGUUAGCUCAAUUUGUGGUUGGUUAUGUAAAUGAAGAGGCCUUGCAAGAGAAUGGGGUCAUGAGUUUCCUGGGGGAUAGGCAUGAUAAUGCUGUAUGCCUGGAAAGAAAAUGAUACUUUGCACUUGUAUAAAGCCUUUCAUCCAUCCAACAAUAAUAAAGAAGACUUUGUACUUUCAGCCAAAUAUUGCAAAGUACUUAACAAAUGUUUAACUCAUGAAUCCUCAGAACGACCAAGAAAGGAAAACUUUGGAAAGGAAGACAGCAGCUCUUAAUCCUCAUGCUCCAAAGGGGAAUCUAAGGUCAGAAGAUAGGAGCCUACACCUAGCUGAGUGACGUCACUGGCAGGGCUCCUCAGACGCACAGACAUUUUUGUGUUUGAACACUGUCGAAGGGGACCUAGACACAGGACUUUGAAAAGGGCAGAGGUGGACCAAAAAAUACCCUGCUUGUUCUUCCAGCCCAGUAAAUCUGUGAAGCAAAAGAGGUUUGGUUUUGAGUUUUUAAAGAUUCUUUGAAUUCUCUUCAAAGAUUUUUGGCUUGUUCCCUAGGAGAAUUUUUUUAAAAGCAUGUAUCCCUUCACAAAAUUUUUAGGUAUGUCUAAAAUAUUUCGUAUGUUUAAAUAAUUGCAAAGGUGAUUUCCAGCAUACGAUUAAUAAUAGAGACAUUUAAAAAUAAACUAUUGCAAUACUCUUUCUAAAAUAUCCAAUUGAAUCAAAAUUCCAAGCAAUCUGAUAGCCAUCAUCAUCUAUU